UACGGAAGGCAGCAGUGGGGAAUAUUGCACAAUGGGCGCAAGCCUGAUGCAGCCAUGCCGCGUGUAUGAAGAAGGCCUUCGGGUUGUAAAGUACUUUCAGUCGUGAGGAAGGUGUUAAGGUUAAUAACCUUAGCAAUUGACGUUAGCGACAGAAGAAGCACCGGCUAACUCCGUGCCAGCAGCCGCGGUAAUACGGAGGGUGCGAGCGUUAAUCGGAAUUACUGGGCGUAAAGGGCACGCAGGCGGUUAAUUAAGUUGGAUGUGAAAUCCCCGGGCUUAACCUGGGAAUGGCAUUCAAGACUGGUUAGCUAGAGUCUUGUAGAGGGGGUAGAAUUCCAUGUGUAGCGGUGAAAUGCGUAGAGAUGUGGAGGAAUACCGGUGGCGAAGGCGGCCCCUGGACAAAGACUGACGCUCAUGUGCGAAAAGCGUGGGGAGCAAAACAGGGAUUAGAU
rnacentral:rRNA from 1 species